rnacentral:rRNA from 1 species
AUUGAACGCUGGCGGCAGGCCUAACACAUGCAAGUCGAGCGAGCGGCGGACGGGUGAGUAAUGUCUGGGAAACUGCCUGAUGGAGGGGGAUAACUACUGGAAACGGUAGCUAAUACCGCAUACCAUCAGAUGUGCCCAGUUGGGAUUAGCUAGUAGGUGGGGUAACGCCUCACCUAGGCGACGAUCCCUAGCUGGUCUGAGAGUAUGACCAGCCACACUGGAACUGAGACACGGUCUAGACUCCUACGGGAGGCUGCAGUGGGGAAUAUGGCACAAUGAGCGCAAGCCUGAUGCAGCCAUGCCGCGUGUAUGAAGAAGGCCUUCGGGUUGUAAAGUACUUUCAGCGGGGAGGCGUUACCCGCAGAAGAAGCACCGGCGAACUCCGUGACAGCAGCCGCGGUAAUAC